UGAACCUGGUAUCCACAAUCACUAAGUUUGCU
rnacentral:piRNA from 1 species